CUUCCUGGAGCCGCCGGCCGGGGCCGCUGGCUGCACUCAGCGCCGGAGCCGGGAGCUAGCGGCCGCCGCCAUGUCCCACCAGACCGGCAUCCAAGCAAGUGAAGAUGUUAAAGAGAUCUUUGCCAGAGCCAGAAAUGGAAAGUACAGACUUCUGAAAAUAUCUAUUGAAAAUGAGCAACUUGUGAUUGGAUCAUAUAGUCAGCCUUCAGAUUCCUGGGAUAAGGAUUAUGAUUCCUUUGUUUUACCCCUGUUGGAGGACAAACAACCAUGCUAUAUAUUAUUCAGGUUAGAUUCUCAGAAUGCCCAGGGAUAUGAAUGGAUAUUCAUUGCAUGGUCUCCAGAUCAUUCUCAUGUUCGUCAAAAAAUGUUGUAUGCAGCAACAAGAGCAACUCUGAAGAAGGAAUUUGGAGGUGGCCACAUUAAAGAUGAAAUAUUUGGAACAGUAAAGGAAGAUGUAUCAUUACAUGGAUAUAAAAAAUACUUGCUGUCACAAUCUUCCCCUGCCCCACUGACUGCAGCUGAGGAAGAAUUACGACAGAUUAAAAUCAAUGAGGUACAGACUGACGUGGGUGUGGACACUAAGCAUCAAACACUACAAGGAGUAGCAUUUCCCAUUUCUCGAGAAGCCUUUCAGGCUUUGGAAAAAUUGAAUAACAGACAGCUCAACUAUGUGCAGUUGGAAAUAGAUAUAAAAAAUGAAAUUAUAAUUUUGGCCAACACAACAAAUACAGAACUGAAAGAUUUGCCAAAGAGGAUUCCCAAGGAUUCAGCUCGUUACCAUUUCUUUCUGUAUAAACAUUCCCAUGAAGGAGACUAUUUAGAGUCCAUAGUUUUAUUUAUUCAAUGCCUGGAUACACAUGCAGUAUAAGAGAGCGGAUGCUGUAUUCUAGCUGCAAGAGCCCUCUGCUAGAAAUUGUAGAAAGACAACUACAAAUGGAUGUAAUUAGAAAGAUCGAGAUAGACAAUGGGGAUGAGUUGACUGCAGACUUCCUUUAUGAAGAAGUACAUCCCAAG
rnacentral:lncRNA from 1 species